rnacentral:lncRNA from 1 species
GCUGGAGUGCAGUGGUACAAUCUCGGCUCAUUGCAACCUCCACCUCCCAGGUUCAAGCAAUUCUCCUGCCUCAGGCUCCUGAGUAGUUGGGAUUACAGGCACCCACCACCACACCCAGCUAAUUUUUGUAUUUUUAGUAGAGACAGGGUUUCACCAUGUUGGCCAGGCUGGUCUCGAACUCCUGACCUCAGGUGAGCCACCCACCUUGGCCUCUCAAAGUGCUGGGAAUACAGGCGUGUCGUGCCUGGUCUAAAAAAUGUCUAUUAGUGUUCCAUCACUAGAUCUCUUCUGAG